GGGGUAUUAGUGAAACGGUUAUCACUAUGGAUUGUCUAUCCAUCAUUACCAGUUCGAAUCUGGUAUACCUCG
rnacentral:tRNA from 1 species